UGUAGAUCUGAAAUAGCUUGACCUGCUGACAAUCACACUCUCUUAAUUGCUUGUCCUAAAUACAGGCAGCCUGAAUGGGAUAUACCCAGACAUUUUCAAAUAGGUGUGAUCUCAGUGCUGAGGAAAUUGGACUGACACAGACACCUUGAUCUGCCCAUAUGUUCAGAGGCAGAUAGACAGAUGGAGUUCUGGCUGUGCACAUCAGCUUCACCCAAACCAGUCUGUCAUCACUCAUGCCAGGGACCUGCUGCAUUCUCACCUUUGGGGAGCUUAUGGUGUCCUUUGAAUCAUCAAACAUUCUUCAGGACUGAUAUUUAUGCCUGCUUGAGCCUGAGGAACUGUUGGGUUGUUUAACAUCCCUACCCUUGGCUGGGUCAUCGUGCACAAUUGCUCAGGUUCCCUCUGAAAAACCUUCAGAUUUCUCUGCCAAACAGAUGAAGUCCGUGGGAGGAGGAGAAGGAAGAGGAGGAAGCAAAUUGGGGCUGAGGGAAGCUCCUCACCAGAGCUGGGCACAAGGGGGAUCUCUGCAGAGAGGGGUGGCUGGUGUUGGAUGCAGUGACAGACGAAUGAUGGUUUUUAAAGUCAUCUUCUAUUCAGUGGUGGCUAUUGCAGAAUGCAAACUAAAAUGAGCACCCGCCCUUGGAAUGGCUAAGGAAAAGUAAAAAUAACCCUCUAGAAACGUUGCAGUGAGUCUCUUUGGCAUCUCCAAGUAUGUGAGCUAUUUCAGGUAUGUUUGCUAAACUUCUCUGUUACUUGCUAACAUAUGAUACAGCUAUGCCUAUGUGUGUGUGCGUGCUGCACAGAAGGGAACAUGUAUCCUGGUGCAAUGCUACACACGUUUCCUUUACAUCUAUACUGCCAGGACCCCAUGUGUAUCAGAGGAAAACAAGACGUGCUGGAUGUUUUCUGCUCCUGUAGCUACAAAUGGUAUUUAGAUUUGGACACCCCUUGGACAUCUGAGAAGCAGGAAUCAUUUUCCUUGUUCCUUCUCUUAUUUACUCUCCAGCACAAAUUGCAAGCAGCACAAAUCUUCUUUCCUAUUUCCCCUCCUUGUCUAUUCAUGUACUUGGAGUACGUGGUUGAAAAUUUCUGAAAAGCUUUCUGCUGGGAGGAAGGUACAUUACUUGGUCCCUUCCAAUACACUUAUUUGAUUGCCUUGAUGGCCUUUAAUUGCACCAGAGGAGGUUCAGAUUGAAUAUUAGGAAAAAAUUCCUCUCAGGAAGAGUGGUAACGCACUGGAACAGACUGCCCAAGGAGGUGGUGAAGUCACUGCCCUGAAGGUGUUCGAGAAACAUGAGGAUGUGGCACUGAGGGACACGUUGGCAUGGUGAGGAUAGAUCAACAGUUGGACUGGACGGUCCUACGGGUCUUUUCCAAACUUUACAAUUCUAUGAUUUUAUAAUUCUAUUCCUCUGUCUUGAAAUGUGCAAGUGUUAAGGAAAUCCAUGUGAAAAGUUUUAUGCAAACCCUGUACAUAUGUAUGUUGCUCGCCUGCCCACUCAGUUUUCCCAGCCACGUGAGCAGAGUGAGGUGCAACAGUUUGUGCCCCCUGGUUGCUGAGAAAAAGAGGUUCAAGGGCAGGUGUGUCAGAGGUCUAUGGCAUUGCUGUGUAGUGGGAAUUGGUUAGUUUAGAACAAGGAGCAAGGGCAGCCAGCAAGGGGCAAGCUCAGAGCCUCUACAGAUGCCAGUCUGACUCGGUACAGCUGUUCUUGUUCAAUCAUUGACCCCAAAUGGAGGUCUGCUCUCAGAUGAGGUGUCCACAUCCAAUGUGUGUGUGCAUCAACCACCAGCUGGCUAAUGCUGGGCUCAGUCCUCAGCAUCCAUCCAACCCCACCAGUGCUCUGCGGCCACUCCAGGAGCACUGCAUGCUGGUAGGUGCCUACCUGUGUCUGACCUAGGGGCAGACGUAUGCCUGAAAGUUUACUUUGCUUCUACUGGCUUAUAAAGUAGAAUGUGCACCUUUUUAAACAGAAAGCUAAAGAUUGCAACAUACUGUUCAUCAUGUUUCUGGCUCUGGGAGAACAAUUUUUUCCUCAGUCAAAGCCGUGCUGAGGUCUCCUGGUAUUUCCCUGGCUGAGGUAAUUGCUUUGCCCUCACUGGAAAAGGGUGUCAUCCCUAAAGCCCCGAUGCUCCUUGGGGUCUGCGUGAUUUCUGUGGUCCAGAGGAGCUGCAUGAAAACACCUGGCUCAAGCCCAUUCCAGCUUUGUGUCUGCUCCUGUGCAGUGCUGGGAGCUGCUGGAUGGCCCAGGGAUCAGGGAGGUCCUCGGCAGCUCUGCAGGUGCCCUGGUGCCUACGGGGGCAAAUCAUUGAGCAAGAUUAAAUGAGAUAUUUUGCUUCCUUCCCUUAGGCAGCCACGCAGCACAGGCUCUGGAAAGUAACUCAUACUCACGAGCUCUGUAUUGUGCCAUUUUCUACAGUUCAGCACCUUGCUCCCAGCAUCCCUCUUUGUGCCUCAGCUUUUAUAAGGAACUGUGCAACAUAACAACCUGAGGGCUGGGCAGGAAGGAGUGACACUUUGAUUGACCAUUUUACAUAAUCUUUAACAAUAGUGGGGUUUUAGUGACUUGGUACAGCCUGUACUCAACAUAAAACUGAGCCUGUUAUCUAAAAGUGCUUCGAUGGCAAGAUAAGCUGCUAAUGCUGGUAGAAGAACAUUACU